UGCCCUAACAGUUCCCCGCCCGGGAACAAGGAGCUGGUAUCAGGCACAACCCUACCGAGCCCACGACACCUUGCUUAGCCACACCCUCAAGGGAACUCAGCAGUGAUAAACAUUAAGCCAUGAGUGAAAACUUGACUUAGUUAAAGCUAAGAGGGCCGGUAAAACUCGUGCCAGCCACCGCGGUUAUACGAGAGGCCCAAGUUGACAAACACCGGCGUAAAGCGUGGUUAAGUUAAAAAUCGUACUAAAGCCAAACAUCUUCAAGACUGUUAUACGUAACCGAAGACAGGAAGUUCAACCACGAAAGUCGCUUUAUCUGAUCUGAAUCCACGAAAGCUAAGGAACAAACUGGGAUUAGAUACCCCACUAUGCCUAGCCCUAAACAUCGAUAGUACCAUACACCCACUAUCCGCCCGGGUACUACGAGCAAUAGCUUAAAACCCAAAGGACUUGGCGGUGCUUUAGAUCCACCUAGAGGAGCCUGUUCUAAAACCGAUAACCCCCGUUCAACCUCACCCUUCCUUGUUUUACCCGCCUAUAUACCGCCGUCGUCAGCUUACCCUGUGAGGGACUAAUAGUAAGCAGAACUGGUACAACCUAAAACGUCAGGUCGAGGUGUAGCGUAUGGAGGGGGAAGAAAUGGGCUACAUUCGCUACCACAGCGAACACGAAUGAUGCACUGAAACACACAUCUGAAGGAGGAUUUAGCAGUAAGCUG
rnacentral:rRNA from 1 species